AGAAGUGAAUUAAGGGCAUUUGGUGGAUGCCUUGGCAUGCACAGGCGAAGAAGGACGUGAUACGCUGCGAAAAGCCGUGGGGAGCUGCGAAUAAGCUUUGAUCCAUGGAUCUCCGAAUGGGGCAACCCACCUUAAAUGCUUGGAAAAUCCAGUCUGUUUUAUGAACGGCCUGGGUUUCCAAGCAUUGUGAUAAGGUAUCUUACUUUCGAAUACAUAGGGGUAAGAAGCGAACGCAGGGAACUGAAACAUCUAAGUACCUGCAGGAAAGGACAUCAACCGAGACUCCGUAAGUAGUGGCGAGCGAACGCGGACCAGGCCAGUGGCAAUGAUGAAUAAAGCGGAACGAUUUGGAAAAGUCGGCCAUAGAGGGUGAUAGCCCCUUACGCGUAGAACAGUCAUUGUCCUUGAGUAGGGCGGGGCACGUGAAAUCCUGUCUGAACAUGGGGAGACCACUCUCCAAGCCUAAGUACUCGUGCAUGACCGAUAGCGAACAAGUACCGUGAGGGAAAGGUGAAAAGCACCCCGACGAGGGGAGUGAAAUAGAACCUGAAACCGGAUGCCUACAAACAGUCGGAGCCCGCAAGGGUGACGGCGUACCUUUUGUAUAAUGGGUCAACGACUUAGUGUAACUAGCAAGCUUAAGCCGGUAGGUGUAGGCGCAGCGAAAGCGAGUCUGAAUAGGGCGAUUGAGUUAGUUGCAUUAGACCCGAAACCGAGUGAUCUAGCCAUGAGCAGGCUGAAGGUUGGGUAACACCAACUGGAGGGCCGAACCCGUAUCUGUUGCAAUAGAUUGGGAUGACUUGUGGCUAGGGGUGAAAGGCCAAUCAAACUCGGAAAUAGCUGGUUCUCCGCGAAAUCUAUUUAGGUAGAGCGUCGACCGAAUACCCUCGGGGGUAGAGCACUGGAUGGGCUAUGGGGACUCACCGUCUUACUGAUCCUAACCAAACUCCGAAUACCGAGGAGUACUAGUCGGCAGACACACGGCGGGUGCUAACGUCCGUCGUGAAAAGGGCAACAACCCUGACCUCCAGCUAAGGUCCCCAAGUCAUGGCUAAGUGGGAAAGGAUGUGAGGAUCCCAAAACAACCAGGAUGUUGGCUUAGAAGCAGCCAUCAUUUAAAGAAAGCGUAACAGCUCACUGGUCUAAAUAAGGGUCUUUGCGCCGAAAAUGUAACGGGGCUAAAGCCAUGCACCGAAGCUGAGGAUGUGACAGUUGUAGUGACUGUUGCGUGGUAGCGGAGCGUUCCGUAAGUCUGUGAAGGCGGACCCGUGAGGGCUGCUGGAGAUAUCGGAAGUGCGAAUGUUGACAUGAGUAACGAUAAAGGGAGUGAGAGACUCCCUCGCCGAAAGACCAAGGGUUCCUGCUUAAAGUUAAUCUGAGCAGGGUUAGCCGGCCCCUAAGACGAGGCGGACACGCGUAGUCGAUGGGAACCACGUUAAUAUUCGUGGGCCUGGUGGUAGUGACGGAUCUCGUGUGUUGUACAUUCUUACUGGAUUGAAUGUGCGGCGAAGAGGUUCCAGGAAAUAGCUCCACCGUAUAGACCGUACCCGAAACCGACACAGGUGGUCAGGUAGAGUAUACCAAGGCGCUUGAGAGAACUAUGUUGAAGGAACUCGGCAAAUUGCACGCGUAACUUCGGAAGAAGCGUGACCCCAUUUUACGCAAGUAUGAUGGGGUGGCACAGACCAGGGGGUAGCGACUGUUUAUCAAAAACACAGGGCUCUGCGAAGUAGCAAUACGACGUAUAGGGUCUGACGCCUGCCCGGUGCUGGAAGGUUAAAGGGAGGGGUGCAAGCUCUGAACUGAAGCCCC
rnacentral:rRNA from 2 species